UACGUACCGUCCAAACGUUAUUCGGAAUUACUGGGUUUAAAGGGUACGUAGGCGGCGCUGUUAGUCGGGUGUGAAAGCCCUCGGCUCAACCGAGGAAUUGCGCCCGAUACUGCAGUGCUUGAGGGAGACAGAGGUAAGCGGAACUGAUGGUGGAGCGGUGAAAUGCGUUGAUAUCAUCAGGAACACCGGUGGCGAAAGCGGCUUACUGGGUCUCUUCUGACGCUGAGGUACGAAAGCUAGGGUAGCGAAGGGG
rnacentral:rRNA from 1 species